CCAGUGGCAUUGCCGGGUAGCUAUGUUCGGAAAAGAUAACCGCUGAAAGCAUCUAAGCGGGAAACUUGCCUCAAGAUGAGAUCUCACUGGAACCUAGAGUUCCCUGAAGGGCCGUCGAAGACUACGACGUUGAUAGGUUGGGUGUGUAAGCGCUGUGAGGCGUUGAGCUAACCAAUACUAAUUGCCCGUGAGGCUUGACCAUAUAACACCCAAGCAAUU
rnacentral:rRNA from 1 species